GUCUCAGGCCGUAUCAGCCUGAAGGCGCCCGAUCUCGUCUGAUCUCGGAAGCUAAGCAGGGUCGGGCCUGGUUAGGAUCUUGGACGGAGACCACCUGGGAAUCCCGGGUGCUCGAGGCU
rnacentral:rRNA from 1 species